UUUUUUUUUUCUGGAACAUUUCCUCAAUUUUAUCUCUCAAUCAUUGGUUGAAUUUUUAUUUUGACUACAAAAUAUGUUUAAUAGUAGAUUGUUCUUAUUUUAGGGACCUAAAAUUGUCCUCUUACUUUCCCAAAGAAAGUAAUUAUAGGUUUAAAAUUGUAGUCAUUCUGUUCUCAGGAUUGUCUUUGUUUUCUUCCAAACUUCAAAAUACCUCUCUUUGGUUUUGGUCUUUGCUUUCAUAUUGGACACCAGCUACUUGUGAUCAUGUGACAGUGCUGGCCAGUGAGCCACAGAGGAAGGCAGCGAAGAACUGGAUGGGAAGCUUUUCCUCUGUGGUCACAGCUUGCCUGCCUGGAGUCUGUCUUCCCUCUUGGCCUCGUCUGCUUUGCAUCUUACCACCGAGUCACACUAAUGACACAGAUGUGGUUAACAGCACAGACCACAGGAUGGUGCAGAGUUUUCUCCUCUUGCUUUGGUGAACUUAAUUUAUUUGUUUAUUUGUUUUAAGGAGGCUUCAUGCCAGCUUGGAGCCCAACACGGGCCUUGAACUCAUGACUCUGAGAUCCUGACUUGAGAUCAAGAGUUGGACGCUAACUGCCUGAGCCCCCCAGGCUCCCCUUCUGGGAACUUUAUUCAGUGAAGCAAGCCCACACCGUGUUUGCUUCAGUGAGGGGAAGCAGCGGUGUGGGGAGUGCAGGAAAUCAGCCUGUCCAUGGUUUUGGUGCAGACUGAGAUCGUAGUAAACUGAACGUCCUAGGCCUUUGUCAUGAGAUCAGCUAUUUUGGUAUACUUGGUAUUCUGAACCUGUGAGCCAGACUUUACAUUUAUCCUGAUUAAAUUUCAAAUGUUAGAUUUUUGUCCAUUAUUCCAGCCUGUCAAGAUAUUUUCCAAUCUUAAUUCAAUCACUGGGGAUAGCGUUUAUCCCUCUGAGCUCCUGAUAAGCCACCAUCUCGGCAUCACAGCAUCGCAGCGACAACACCAGACGGAAAUGGACAGCACCUCUGUGCUCACUGCUGCUGCUCUGCUCAGGUAAAGAAAAAACGGAUGGUGGAAGGAGCGCUAACCAAGGAUUUUUUAAAAAAGAUUUUAUUUAUUUAUUCAUGAGAGAUGCAGAGAGAAAGAGGCAGAGACAUAGGCAGAGGGAGAAGCAGACUCCCUGCAGGGAACUCAAUGCAAGACUUGAUCCCAGGUCUCCGGGAUCGUGAUCUGAGCUGAAG
rnacentral:lncRNA from 1 species